UACGGGGGGGGCAAGCGUUGUUCGGAAUUACUGGGCGUAAAGGGCUCGUAGGUGGCCAACUAAGUCAGACGUGAAAUCCCUCGGCUUAACCGGGGAACUGCGUCUGAUACUGGAUGGCUUGAGUUUGGGAGAGGGACGCGGAAUUCCAGGUGUAGCGGUGAAAUGCGUAGAGAUGCGGAGGAACACCGAUGGCGAAGGCAGCCCCCUGGGCUGACACUGACGCUCAGGCACGAAAGCGUGGGGAGCAAACAGG
rnacentral:rRNA from 1 species